GCAGCAGUGUCCCAUAGUGGUUAUGGAGCAGGGCUUGUAACCGAAAGGUUGCGGGUUCGACUCCCGCUGGUGCA